GGAAACAAAAAGCCUAAAAAUUUGAUGUUGGUCCUAUCACUUGCUCAAAACGCAAAAAGGAGGUUCAAUUAAAACAUGAUUAAGAUUUUGUUAAGGUAACACCUUGAAUUUUUCGACAUUUUGGUUAAAAAACAUUAGGAAAAAGUUUCAAGGCAGAUAUGUGUUGGUGAACGCAACAUUCUAACAAAUAACUACUUACAAUGAAUAUUACUUUUAUCCACCAUCAGCUCUGGUACCAAUUAUAACGAGAUACGGGAUACAGUAGAUAAUAUUACAAAUUUACAA
rnacentral:lncRNA from 1 species